rnacentral:rRNA from 1 species
CGGGUGAGUAACAUAUCGGAACGUGCCUAGUAAUGGGGGAUAACGCAGCGAAAGCUGUGCUAAUACCGCAUACGAUCUACGGAUGAAAGCGGGGGACCUUCGGGCCUCGCGCGAUUGGAGCGGCCGAUGUUAGAUUAGGUAGUUGGUGGGGUAAAGGCUCACCAAGCCGACGAUCUAUAGCUGGUCUGAGAGGACGACCAGCCACACUGGAACUGAGACACGGUCCAGACUCC